AUGUUGUUGAGGUUGUUCCUCCUGUUCAGUAAUGUUGAGGUUGUUCCACCUGUCCUGUUCAGUAAUGUUGUUGAGGUUGUUCCACCUGUCCUGUUCAGUAAUGUUGAGGUUGUUCCUCAUGUUCUGUUCAGUAAUGUUGAGGUUGUUCCUCCUGUCCUGUUCAGUAAUGUUGAGGUUGUUCCUCAUUCUCUUCUUUCCUUAUUUCUUUGUCUUAUUUGGAAUGUUUUUCCUCCUUUGUGUCCCUGGCGUCUUCCGUCAGGUGACGUCACGCCGACGCUCGUCCCUUUAAAGCCCGACGUAAGACGCCGGUGUGUCCCUCCAGAGGCGUGUGUGUCCCUCCCAGAGGCGUGUGUGUCCCUCCCAGAGGCGUGUGUGUCCCUCCCAGAGGCGUGUGUGUCCCUCCCAGAGGCGUGUGUGUAGUAUGCAGUGGUAGGUAGGUCAUAGCCCGGCCCAGGCGGGGCUGCUGGAGUAACAGUGAUCUGUGCCUGUGUGAGGGACCGUCCCCAGUCCAUCAGAGUCCAGACAGUCAAACACUAUACUCUCCACAUCAACCUCCACGUCUUCUGCAAAAAAACAAAACAAAAACCAACACAUCUCAGGUUAUCAAAGACGAUCUAUAAUCUGUCAAAUAUGACUGGGGAAUAAAUACAAAUCUGUUCAAUCGCAGACUCAAAUUUCUCCUAAAAUCAAUGUGUGUUUUAGUUGUACUUGAGACACCGUAUUUCUGAUAUGAAACAUUAAGCUGAAUAACUUUAAACAUGAAAACCUCCCGGACACUUCAGUCAACUAAACCUGAAGUUGAAGACCUACAUCCCUAACGUGGAGAUGAACACUGAGAAGAGCUGGGACCGAGACCAUCAACCUGAAGUUGAAGACCUACAUCCCUAACGUGGAGAUGAACACUGAGAAGAGCUGGGACCGAGACCAUCAACCUGAAGUUGAAGACCUACAUCCCUAACGUGGAGAUGAACACUGAGAAGAGCUGGGACCGAGACCAUCAACCUGAAGUUGAAGACCUACAUCCCUAACGUGGAG
rnacentral:lncRNA from 13 species